GUGCUGAGUUUACAGUAAAUACUAGAUCAAUAUUUAAUAAUCCAUUUUUUUUUAGACAGAGUUUCAAUCCUGUUGCCCAGGCUGGAGUGUAAUGGCGUGAUCAUAGCUCACUGCAACCUCUGCCUCCGGGGUUCAAGCAAUUCUCCUGCCUCAGCCUCCUAAGUAGCUGGGAUUACAGGGAGAGGAGCGGAAGACCUUCUGGUGUGGGCUGGGCAGCAAUUCACUUGAAGGAGAAACAGCCCGGGUGUGGAGAGGCGGCUGUCCUUGGAGGGAUCCUUUCUAAGGAGCCGAGAAAUCAACGUAGAGCUUCCUCUAUCUGAUUCUCUAACAACUGCAGACCUUCCAUGAGUCAAGCUUUGUGUCAAAAGGACAAAUUAAAAGGACCUAUAAAAGGCAUCACCAAGCCCAGUGGACAGAUGCCCCAGGCUGCACAUUCUGUCAGUGCUGUUCUGGAAAAGGCCCAAACACAUGCUGAAACAUGGAAGAGAAAACAGGCUAGGUACGGUGGCUCACGCCUGUAAUCCCAGCACUUUGGGAGGCCGAAACAGGAGAAUUGCUUGAGCUCCAGAGUUCCAGACCUGCCUGGGCAACAGAACAAGGGCUCAUCUCUACUAGAAGUCAAAAAAUUAGCCAGCUGUGGUGGCGUGCACCUGUGGUCCUAGCUACUUGGCUGGCUGAGAACUCAUUUAUGUAUCUCAUUUGAUCUCAUCACAACCUGAGACACAGGUCAUAAUAGAGACUUCGGGGCUCAUUUUAUACCCGGUGAACCAGCCAACUUUCAUGCAGUUGAGAAAAGUAUAAGAAGCCAGCCCUCGGGAACCACCAGGAGCCAGGAGCACCCCGGCCCCGCAGGGCCCCAAGUUCAGCCUGCCCCAACCCCUCUGGUGCAGAGUUCCUGGGACACCAUCUGCAGCCCCGCCACGCCCCUCAAAGUCAAGGGCACAGGCGGCUGGGGCUUCCCCGCCCGCCCGACGACUUCCUGCUGCCCCAGCAGCCGCCACAGUCACCACCACGGCCCCUGGACGACCCAGAGCUCCUGCUGCCGCCCCCUGACUUCAUGGAGGCGCCCCAGGACUUCGUGCCCCCUCCCCCUGCUGUCGCCAAGAGGCCUCCUAUGCCCCACCCCCACAAGAGGCACGAAGCAUCAAUGUUCAGAUGCCGCAAAUGAAUAAAAUAAAUGAAUAAAAGUUCAACGUUCUUCCUA
rnacentral:lncRNA from 1 species